ACGGCGACCGGCGCACGGGUGAGUAACACGUAUGCGACCUGCCCGUAGCAGGGGGAUAAGCGGAAGAAAUUCCGUCUAAUACCGCGUAAUAUCUUUCGGGGGCAUCCCUGAGGGAUUAAAGGAAGCGAUUCCGGCUAAGGAUGGGCAUGCGGCGCAUUAGCUAGACGGCGGGGUAACGGCCCACCGUGGCGACGAUGCGUAGGGGUUCUGAGAGGAAGGUCCCCCACACUGGUACUGAGACACGGACCAGACUCCUACGGGAGGCAGCAG
rnacentral:rRNA from 1 species